ACUUCACUGCCUUGUUGUCGAAGCAGCGACAAUGUUCACACUCAUCAUCACUCUCUGCCUAUUUACAACAGUGAACACUGACACCUCUGAGCUUCAGGUACAAACUGUGAGAAGUGGAAGUAACGUUACCAUAAAAUGUGGCCAUAAAAUGGACAGUGACAGUAAAACUGUGUUUUUAGCUUGGUAUAAGCAGAGUUUAGGAAAAGUGCCAGAGUAUGUUGUGAGAUCGUUUGGGGAUGAAAGGAAACCGAGAUUUACACAAAGUUUUAGUAAAGAACGUUUUACUCUGGAUGAAGAAGCAUCUGGUCUCAUUAUUAAUGGAAUAAAGGAAGAGGAUGCUGGAACUUAUUUCUGUGGAAAAGUAAAGCAAAAUUUUGUAGAGUUUGAUUCUGGGACUCUUUUACUUUUUGAAGCUGUGAAGACUGACCAACAUCAUGUGACUGAAAUGGUGAUCAAGACUGGAGACUCUGCUACUCUCCAGUGUUCAGUACAGUCUGUUAAUUCAAACUGUUCAGGAGAUCACAGUGUGUACUGGAUCAGACAUGGAUCAGGAGAAUCUCACCCAGGAAUCAUUUACACUCAUGGAAACAGGAGUGAUGAGUGUGAGAAAAGCUCUGAGACUGAUUCUCCUACACAGAGCUGCGUCUACAAACUCCCCAAGAGAAACCUCAGCCUCUCUGAUGCUGGAACUUACUACUGUGCUGUGGCUGCAUGUGGACAGAUACUGUUAGGAGAUCAAACUAAAGUUACUCUACAAGAAAAUAGCAGCUGGAUUAUCAUCACCCUGUCAAUAUCAAAUGUAAUAUCCAUUAUUAUGAUCAUUGUUCUGAUUGGGUUUCUACUUAAGAGUCAACAAAAAGGUGCUACAAACACCCAGCAAAGCCACACUAAUCAGGCUGAGGAUGCAAAGGUCGUAACCUAUGCUGCCCUGAACUUUCCUAUGAAACGUCCCUCCAGGAAGCAGAUGGAAAGUCAACCCAUAGCUGAUGGGAGACAAGCACCGACAGCAUCACAAUAAUCCUCUUUCUUUCUAUUCUGCCUGAAGAGGUCACAGUGGAUCAAGUGGAAGAUGAGUUCAGGAUAUAUCAAACGACCAGCUGACAAGAUAAGUGCCUUGGUGACAAGAAAUGUGAACACGGCUGCAAUUGGCAAUGUGUGUCACAUGGAAAGCGUCAGUGAUGCUCAGAUGGAUCAGAAGCGUUACACUAUUGUGCUGCCUAAAAUAUUUUCUCAAGGACAUGCUGAUUUCUGCCCGCACCCUGACGGAGAAGCGGCUUUGAAAAUGGAUGGAUGGAUGCUGAUUUCUGCGUACGGAAGGAGCCAUUGAGAGUUGAGGGAGCAUCUAUAAAUUACGACCAUGAAAGUCCACGCAAGCAACAUCGAUAUAAAACCUUAUGAACUGGUAGAUUUGUGUUCAGAUAGAACACAAAUGAUGGGCAGUGAGUUUUUAGAAUGCUCUUUAUUUAUAAUAAUUGCUUUUGAAGGGUCUCAAAGUAAGAUGUAGAGCAGAGUGGUCUUUAUCCUGUUGUAAACAAUGUUGUUGUCUUUUGUUUGUUUGUUUGUUUGUUUGUUUUACCAAAUAAGGCAAAUAAGGAAGAUAUGGGGGCACGUAAGUCCCAGGAGAGCAGUAUAGUUUUUAGCUAUAUUGCAUUUGAUCCAAAGUACUCGAUCAUUCUACAGUAAUCAUUUGUUUCUAUGUUUUAGUAUCAGAGCUUUUCGUCUCAGUUUAACAAAUAAUUAUUAUUGUCCUGUUAAAGUUUUUUUUUUUUUUUCUGGGCAGCUGCUUUGAUUUAUGAAGAUGUCACCUUCUUGUCACCGUUAACCAUUUCUGUAAAUGUGAGUGAUUGUUUCUUUGAGGCUCAAUAUUAAAGUCACCUAUGAUCUAUCA